rnacentral:rRNA from 1 species
GGGUCAGUAGGUUGGUCGUGCCACCGGUACGUACUGGUCUCACUGAUUCCUCCUUCCUGAAGAACCGUAAUGCCAUUAAUUUGGUGUUGCGGGGAAACAGGACUGUUACUUUGAAAAAAUUAGAGUGUUUAAAGCAAGCUAACGCUUGAAUACAUUAGCAUGGAAUAAUGAAAUAGGACGAUCGAUCCUAUUUUGUUGGUCUCUAGGACUGACGUA